rnacentral:lncRNA from 1 species
GGGAGGAAUGCGCUGAAGGAGCAAGACCUCCAUGCUGUCGUCCUGUGGAACUCACCCCACUACCCUCAGAUGGGGCUACCAUCCCCAGUACAGGAAUGGGUGGCCCUGGGCCAUGAGAACUGUGAGUGGAAACUGAAGCCUGAUUCCUAUCUUCCUGUCCCUACAGAGUAGGGAAUGACUCAAGAAUGAGCCAGCAUUGAGGAUGCAUUUGUCAAGGCGAGAGAGGCACGCACGAUCACUGAGCAUGGCUUGAGAUUUCCACCUUAUAAAGGAAUGUCUCUGCCCUCCCAGGAGAUGAGUUGAGAGAUGCUCAACUUUAGAAAAUCCUCCCCUAAUUCCACAAAUGACAAACCCAGACUACUGUUUGCCAGUCAGCUCUCAGAAUAUUUAUGAGAGUACCACGCUUCUCAUGUUGCAAAGAAGGCCAAUUCAAAAUACUCAUGACUCUUCAGAUUAUUGAUGCUUGACCAGCAAGGUUACAAUGAGGUAAGAGGUCCAUGGACCCUAAGGGUGAGAGUGUUACUAACUCCCUAACAGGACUUCUCAGCUAGUAGCCUCUUCCUAAG